rnacentral:rRNA from 1 species
CUCCUGGGAACGGGUGGUAAUGCCGGAUGCUCCAGUUGAUCGCAUGGUCUUCUGGGAAAGCUUUCGCGGUAUGGGAUGGGGUCGCGUCCUAUCAGCUUGACGGCGGGGUAACGGCCCACCGUGGCUUCGACGGGUAGCCGGCCUGAGAGGGCGACCGGCCACAUUGGGACUGAGAUACGGCCCAGACUCCUACGGGAGGCAGCAGUGGGGAAUAUUGCACAAUGGGCGCAAGCCUGAUGCAGCGACGCCGCGUGAGGGAUGGAGGCCUUCGGGUUGUAAACCUCUUUUAUCGGGGAGCAAGCGAGAGUGAGUUUACCCGUUGAAUAAGCACCGGCUAACUACGUGCCAGCAGCCGCGGUAAUACGUAGGGUGCAAGCGUUAUCCGGAAUUAUUGGGCGUAAAGGGCUCGUAGGCGGUUCGUCGCGUCCGGUGUGAAAGUCCAUCGCUUAACGGUGGAUCCGCGCCGGGUACGGGCGGGCUUGAGUGCGGUAGGGGAGACUGGAAUUCCCGGUGUAACGGUGGAAUGUGUAGAUA